rnacentral:rRNA from 1 species
AGAGAGAGACAUGCGCGCAUAUCAAUAAGCGGAGGAAAAGAAACUAACAAGGAUUCCCCUAGUAACGGCGAGUGAAGCGGGAAGAGCUCAAAUUUGAAAUCUUAAAGGGUUUCCCUUUACGAAUUGUAGUUUAUAGAAGUGUUUUCUGUUGAGGUUUUGGUAAAAGUUCUUUGGAAUAGGACAUCAUAGAGGGUGAGAAUCCCGUAUUUGACCUUUACUUUCAACUUUGUGAUACACUUUCAAAGAGUCGGAUUGUUCGGGAAUGCAGUCCAAAAUGGGUGGUAAAUUUCAUCUAAAGCUAAAUAUUGGCGAGAGACCGAUAGCGAACAAGUACCGUGAGGGAAAGAUGAAAAGAACUUUGAAAAGAGAGUUAAACAGUACGUGAAAUUGUCAAAAGGGAAGCGUUUGACACCAGUGUUGUUUUUCUGAAAAUCAAUUAAAGAACUGUUUAUGCUAAGCUGUUUAGACUUUAUCAGCUAUCUGUUUAGUUUUGAGCUUUUCUUUAAUGCACUUUUCAGUUAACAAGUCAACAUCAAUUUCUUUUGCUGUAAAAAAGCUUGAGGAAGGUGGCUUGAGAUUCGUCUUAAGUGUUUAUAGCCUCUUGCCUAUGCAGUCGGAGAGAUUGAGGUCUGCAGCGUAGAUCCUUCGGGGCUAAAUGCAUUUGUGCUAAGUUAUAGCAUUUUAUAGACAACUUGUUGACUAUGAUUUGUCUUGUAGCUUACUCGCUUAUGUUAUUUUACCUACGCUUAGGAUGUUGACGCAUGAGAUAUACGC